rnacentral:rRNA from 1 species
UGAAUACGAGAUGCUACGGCGUCGAAGCAGUCUAUGUCAUACUUCCAAGAAAAGCUUGCACUGUCAUAAACAAAUAAUGCCUGUACCAUAACCGACACAGGUGGGUAGGUAGAGUAUACUAAGGGGCGCGAGAUAACUCUCUCUAAGGAACUCGGCAAAAUGACUCCGUAACUUCGGGAGAAGGAGUGCCUUAUUUUAUAAGGUUGCAAUAACAAGAUCCAAGCAACUGUUUACCAAAAACACAGGUCUCCGCUAAGUCGUAAGACGAUGUAUGGGGGCUGACGCCUGCCCAGUGCCAGAAGGUUAAAGAAGUUGGUUAGCAUCCGCGAAGCUGAUAACUGAAGCCCUGGUGAACGGCGGCCGUAACUAUAACGGUCCUAAGGUAGCGAAAUUCCUUGUCGGGUAAGUUCCGACCCGCACGAAAGGCGUAAUGAUUUGGAUACUGUCUCAGAGAGGGGCUCGGUGAAAUAGACUUGUCUGUGAAGAUGCGGACUACCUGCACCAGGACAGAAAGACCCUAUGAAGCUUUACUGUAACUUGAAAUUGAAAUUGGACUUUACUUGCGCAGUAUAGGUGGGAGGCGUUGAGAAUAUUCUUGCGGGAAUGUUGGAGCCAUCAGUGAGAUACCACUCUUGUAAUGUUAGAUUUCUAACUUUGUAUCAUUAUCUGGUCAAAGGACAGUUUCAGGCGGGCAGUUUGACUGGGGCGGUCGCCUCCCAAACGGUAACGGAGGCGCACAAAGGUUUCCUCUGAACGGGUAGAAAUCGUAUCUAGAGUGUAAAGGCAUAAGGAAGCUUGACUGUGAGACCUACAAGUCGAGCAGGGACGAAAGUCGGUCUUAGUGAUCUGACGGUGCUGAGUGGAAAGGCCGUCACUCAACGGAUAAAAGUUACUCUAAGGAUAACAGGCUGAUCUCCCCCAAGAGUUCACAUCGACGGGGAGGUUUGGCACCUCGAUGUCGGCUCAUCGCAUCCUGGGGCGGUAGUACGUCCCAAGGGUUGGGCUGUUCGCCCAUGAAAGCGGUACGCGAGCUGGGUUCGGAACGUCGUGAGACAGUUCGGUCCAUAUCCGGUGUAGGCGUUAGAAUAUUGAGAGGAGCCUUCUUUAGUACGAGAGGACCGAGAAGGACAUACCUCUGGUGUACCAGUUAUCGUGCCAACGGUAAACGCUGGGUAGCUAUGUAUGGAGUGGAUAACCGCUGAAAGCAUCUAAGUGGGAAGCCCACCUCAAGAUAAGUAUUCUCAAU